GGGAUAACUGUAGUUCUUCAAGUGGUGAUGGUGGAGUUUUUAAAGAAUUUUGCUGACACAGAGAGGUUGAAUUGGCAGCAAUGGUUAGCUUGUAUCGCAAUGGCAGCCUUCACAUGGCCAAUUGGUUGGGCUGUGAAGUUUAUACCUGUUACAGAGAAACCAAUAUUCAGUUACCUCAAGCGGUUAAGAUUGAUAUUCACAAAGAUUAAGCAAACAAUCUACCACAAAGAAGCAUCUUCCUUCAGGCUCGGAACAGCAUGAGGAAUAUGGUGAGGUUCUGAACCGGCAAGGGCAUACCUGGGAAGAUUUAUAUCCCUGGGUGGCUCAGGAUUGAGCGUAUCUUUCUUUCUGUGAAAUCAAAA
rnacentral:lncRNA from 1 species